rnacentral:rRNA from 1 species
UACGUAGGGUGCGAGCGUUGCCCGGAUUUAUUGGGCGUAAAGGGCGCGUAGGCGGUGAGAUGCGUCCGUUGUGAAAUCGCCCGGCUCAACUGGGCGGGGUCAGCGGAUACGGUCUCACUUGAGCAAGCUAGGGGGCAAUGGAAUUCCUGGUGUAGCGGUGAAAUGCGCGGAUAUCAGGAGGAACACCGGUGGCGAAGGCGGGUCUCUGGGCCGAUACUGACGCUGAGGAGCGAAAGCGUGGGGAGCGAACAGG